AACGAACGCUGGCGGCGUGCCUAACACAUGCAAGUCGUGCGAGAAAGUUCCUUCGGGAGCGAGUAAAGCGGCGCACGGGUGAGUAACACGUAGGUAACCUGCCCCCCAGUCUGGAACAACUAGAGGAAACUCUAGCUAAUGCCGGAUGAGACCACGAUCCCUUCGGGGGUUGCGGGCCCAAAAGGAUGGCCUCUACUUGUAAGCUAUCGCUGAGGGAUGGGCCUGCGGCCAUUAGCUUGUUGGUGAGGUAACGGCUCACCAAGGCUGUGAUGGCUAGCUGGUCUGAGAGGAUGACCAGCCACACUGGGACUGAGACACGGCCCAGACUCCU
rnacentral:rRNA from 1 species